rnacentral:miRNA from 1 species
CACUAUGUAGUUGAGACUGACCUGCAACUCACUGUGUAGCCCAGGCUGGUCUGGAACUCAAAGAGAUCCUCCUGCCUCAGCCUCCCGAGUGCUGGGAUUACAGGCGUGUGCCACCAUGCCC